rnacentral:tRNA from 2 species
CAGGGAGACCAACCAACUCAGCACAGAGAAAGUAUAUGUGUGGAAGUAUGGACAACCCUGGUCGAGCAAGGAAAAAGAGUGUGUGAAAAAAACUUUCAAACUAGAGGUUAGGUUUUGUUGAUGGGCUAUUAGCUCAGUUGGUUAGAGCGCACCCCUGAUAAGGGUGAGGUCUCUGGUUCAAGUCCAGAAUGGCCCACCUAACCGAAUGAUAAGGGGGUAUAGCUCAGUUGGUAGAGCACUGCCUUUGCAAGGCAGGAGUCAGCGGUUCGAGUCCGCUUACCUCCAGGAGGGAGGAAAAAACAGAAGUCAGCAACAAGACCUGAACCAAUCAAGUCAUGCUGCUGGUCAUCUAUGGAAAUGUCCAGUAAGAACCUUGAAAACUGCAUAGUAGAAAGAAGUUAAAGUAACUGAACCAGAGGUUAGGUUUUACCUAAGAAAAAAAAUCUAGUCAGGUAGAAAGUAAAGUGGUCAAGUUAUCAAGGGCUGACGGU